rnacentral:rRNA from 1 species
UACGUAGGGUGCGAGCGUUGUCCGGAAUUACUGGGCGUAAAGAGCUCGUAGGUGGUUUGUCGCGUUGUUCGUGAAAACUCACAACUCAAUUGUGGGCGUGCGGGCGAUACGGGCAGACUGGAGUACUGCAGGGGAGACUGGAAUUCCUGGUGUAGCGGUGGAAUGCGCAGAUAUCAGGAGGAACACCGGUGGCGAAGGCGGGUCUCUGGGCAGUAACUGACGCUGAGGAGCGAAAGCGUGGGGAGCGAACCGG